rnacentral:lncRNA from 1 species
UAAGGAAGUUUUUUUUUUUUUUCCACAAAACAGUGUUUUGAAAUAUGAAUCACUUGUUAGGGUUUGGAGUGGGUGCAUAUGUGCACGCGUGCAUGUGUGUAGACAGGCAAUCCUGCCUCCGUUUGAGAUCCACAGAUGUGGGCCUGCAGGCUCCCUGCCCCUACUCAGAGUUGUCCUCUGCAGCUCCAGUGAUUUAACAUGCUGCGGGUUCACACCAGGAAGGGCUGCCCUUCAAAGAGCAGUCAUCAUAGACUUGACAAUUUUCUGGCAGAUACAAGGAAGUUGUCUUGAGGAAGGAGUACAAUUUUCUUGAUCACGCAAAGGCUCUGUAUGAGUCGGCAGGGGUGCUGCCUGUGGAUCUCAGGAGCAAGUUUCCUUCCAGGAUAACCUUAGUUUCGGUUGUGCCUGAAGUAUAACGGACAUACAGCAAAAUACCCAUGUUUUAAGUGGAUCGCCUCAAGUCUUCCGAGGGAAAGCCCCAACCCGGAUCAGUUCGUUAGCAGCACCUAGUGCCACUUUCGGAGCAUCCUGUUGUCCAAGGAACGAGAAGUGGCUAUCGCAGUCCUUCAGAGAGCACUGGUUUUGGAGUCAGAGAAACGUGCUCAGGCCUUACCUGAGCACCUCCUAAAUCAGGCUCAACACCUUUAUUUUGCGGAAGAAAGAACUGAGGUCCAGACAGAGCAAGGGACUUGCUUGGCUCCCCAUCUCCACGACUGGAGCCCAGUGCCCUCUCUGUUGAGUUCAUGGCUUCUCCGGCUCAGUGUUCACAUAAUAUUUGUCAGUGGCUAUAUUCUGCUUGCGGCUUGGCUCAAGACGUUCACCUAAAGGUAAUUACAUCUUUUAGAUUGAAUACCUAUACGGAGUUGUUAAGAUUGUAUUUUCAAAAAUGGGGGUAGCGGUGUGUUUUCAUAGAACUAAAGCCAUCUGCAGAUGAGGCUUAUUUUCGCAGAAGAUUUAAGAAUCAAGUCACAGAAACCAGAU